CGGGGGGAGCAAGCGUUGUUCGGAUUUACUGGGCGUAAAGGGCGCGUAGGCGGCCUCCGCAAGUCAGUUGUGAAAUCUCCGAGCUUAACUCGGAAAGGUCAACUGAUACUGCGGGGCUAGAGUGCGGAAGGGGCAACUGGAAUUCUUGGUGUAGCGGUGAAAUGCGUAGAUAUCAAGAGGAACACCUGCGGCGAAGGCGGGUUGCUGGGCCGACACUGACGCUGAGGCGCGAAAGCUAGGGGAGCGAACGGGAUUAGAUACCCCGGUAGUCCUAGCCUUAAACGCUGAAUGCUUGGUGUCUGGGGUUAUAUAGUCCCCGGGUGCCGUCGCUAACGCUUUAAGCAUUCCGCCUGGGGAGUACGGUCGCAAGACUG
rnacentral:rRNA from 1 species